rnacentral:rRNA from 1 species
UACGGGGGGGGCAAGCGUUGUUCGGAAUUACUGGGCGUAAAGGGCGCGUAGGCGGCCUUCUAAGUCAGACGUGAAAUCCCUCGGCUCAACCGAGGAACUGCGUCUGAUACUGGAAGGCUUGAAUCCGGGAGAGGGAUGUGGAAUUCCAGGUGUAGCGGUGGAAUGCAUAGAGAUCCGGAAGAACACCAGUGGCGAAGGCGGCCCGCUGGGCAGUGGCUGACGCUGAGGCGCGACAGCGUGGGGAGCAAACAGG